rnacentral:rRNA from 1 species
GACGAACGCUGGCGGCGUGCCUAAUACAUGCAAGUUGAGCGAUGAAGAUUGGUGCUUGCACCAAUUUGAAGAGCAGCGAACGGGUGAGUAACGCGUGGGGAAUCUGCCUUUGAGCGGGGGACAACAUUUGGAAACGAAUGCUAAUACCGCAUAACGACUUUAAACAUAAGUUUUAAGUUUGAAAGAUGCAAUUGCAUCACUCAAAGAUGAUCCCGCGUUGUAUUAGCUAGUUGGUGAGGUAAAGGCUCACCAAGGCGAUGAUACAUAGCCGACCUGAGAGGGUGAUCGGCCACAUUGGGACUGAGACACGGCCCAAACUCCUACGGGAGGCAGCAGUAGGGAAUCUUCGGCAAUGGACGAAAGUCUGACCGAGCAACGCCGCGUGAGUGAAGAAGGUUUUCGGAUCGUAAAACUCUGUUGGUAGAGAAGAACGUUGGUGAGAGUGGAAAGCUCAUCAAGUGACGGUAACUACCCAGAAAGGGACGGCUAACUACGUG